GAUUCCAUGCAGGGUUUUUAAUGUCCAAUUAGGAGAAAGAUUAAAGCUUGCUUGGCUAGGAGUGGAAGCGGAUCCGCUACUUCAGUCAGAUGACCUUUUGAAGAAGGCUUACAACAGGCUGUCUCAGGAUGUCAAUGGCUCAACUCAAAAGUCCCCAAAGCGGUUGAUAUCAAAGAAUGCCAUUGUCUCCAGGCUUGGGCUCCUUGGCAUCAAACAAGGGAAUGUCGACUCUGUUGAAGGGGAAGCACGGGCUUCUAAAGUGCGAAGAAAGAGGAUAGUCCGGAAGAAGGUGCCGCAUAAAUUUCUUGGGAGUUAAUCCUAGUCAAUAGCCCAAUUUUGCUGCCUGUCGACGACAUACAACACGGAAGUCCUCAUCAAACUCUUUGGGACAUCUAAGAACUAGUAGGGAGGUGGUGGUAUUCACUGUGUUUCCUGGCAAGUAUAGUUCACUGAUGGAUGGAUUCUUUUCUUGAUGUCUAAAUAUCAUAUGUGAUACAACGUCGUAUAUUCCAAUUUUUCUCCAGUAAAAUUCUUAAUAAAGUUGAUUUACUUUGGAAUCUUAUUCACUCUCUUUGUUAAAUUUUGCAAAUUCUAAUGCGGAUUUGUCAAAAAAAGCGUCUUUGUGAUUUCUUUGAUAGACUUUUGAUCGCUAGUUUAAGUUUGAAUCAUCUUGCAAUACCAAAAAGCUAAAACUUUUAAUUACUUGAUCGUAUUCGAGUCCUUGUUUAGUAUUACCUCUAAUUAUAAUAUAAACGUUGAUAUUAUAUAGUAAAUAUGAUUGUUAAAUAAUAAUUUUGAUAAAAUUAUUAGAGAUAUUUUAGUUUUUUUUAUAAUGGAGUAUGAGAUUAGAUCAAUUUAAGUAAUAAUUAUAAAUGUUUACAAAAUACUCUUAACGUUGGACCCUAAAAAUUAUGCUCUACGAAACUCUUACCGGAUUUUAGUUGUACUUUCUAGCCCGAUUGUAGAAGUCCUUACUCGAUGUACUUCACCGUAGAAGACAUUCCCCAAUUAUACUUAAAUCUUACUCGACUUUGAUUUGUAUAUUUUAUGCCUAAAUUUUUGUCAACAAAUUGGUCCCAGGUUCAUGCUUCUUCGGCUUGGGUGAUCCCAGCGAAUCCAUUGCGUCCAUUCCACGUUAAGUGCAUGCAAUCCACAAGUUUGAUUGAGCAGAAAUAGCCACAAAAAAAAAACUAAUGAAACCCACGUCCAGAAGUGCCGUUGUCACAGAUGCCUAGACACUACACCCCAUCCCCUCUUACCAUAUUUUGUAAUUGAGGAGCCCAUUAAUAAAUUGAAAAAUUAUCAUUCAAAAUCCAAAAAUAGAAAAAGAACAAUUCUUGGAAACACACUCGGAGUUUUAAAUUCAUGUGAGAAAAUAGUUUAUUAUUAUUUUCUUUUCCAAAAAUUAAGCUAAGACAUCAGUAUAUGCCCAAAAUACCCUCAUAUUAUCCCUAACUUUCUAAACUCCCCCGCUCCUCUCAACAUCAUCUCUUCCAAAUCUCCCCCCCCCCCCCCCCCCCCCACCACAAAAAAAACACACCAGCCAUGGCUUCAAAUUCAAUCACCUCAACUCUCCAACAUUGGCUUGUAAACCACCCACAAAUCCUCAACUUCACAUGGACUGAAAACCAAACCCCAGCUUCCUCAUUCUCUCCAUCCUCACUUACCUCUCCCUCACAUCCAUCCUCUACCACACAUUAACGUCAACAUCACCAUCAUCAUCACCUCUCAUUGGACCCCACGUCCUCAAGCCCAUCACAGCCGUCCAUAACCUCACCCUCCUCCUCUCCCUCAUCAUGCCUGUUGGUUGCACCCUCUCCAUCAUCCUCCACUCACCCCACCUCCGUUACACCCUCUGUUUCCCCCCCACCAUUUCUCCCUCCGGCCCCCUCUUCUUCUACGCUUACAUCUUCUACCUUUUCCAAAAUACUCGAAUUCCUAGACACCCUUUUGAUCGUUUUGUCAAACUCCAUCCAGCGCCAACUAGGAGAGUUUGAAAUCACUACACAUGUGCGUGAGAAAGUGAAUUUAUCUUAGAAAAAUCACUUUUUAAAUUUUCUCACUCGCCCAUUUUGAGAAAGUAAGUUCAAAUUUCUCUUUAUAAUAUAUGAGGAAGAUUGAGAUUCUCUGUAAAAGAACAGAUUAGAAAUUUGAACAAAUAUUUCCAAAGACAUCGACCCAUCUUUAAAUUACAAAGUCCAAUAAAUAUAUAAACCUAAAUCUAGUGGGAUUUAGGUUCGUUCAUGGAAAUAUAUAUAAUAAAUUAUUUCCAGUUUGAAACUUUUUCCUUUUUUUUUUUUUUUUUUUGCUCUUUAAGUUGUACAAUUUCCUUUCCUUCGUUGGUUGAUACAAAAUUUUGAAUAAUUGCAGUGACAAAUGGGCAAAAUUUACAGAAAUUAAAAAGGAGAAAAGAAAAAGUUGGCAGAAACUUCCAAACGAAGACCAAAACUCUAAAUCACUAUUAGUGAUUACAACUAAUUUGGCAAAUAAAAUAAAAAUGCAAAACCCCCCAAAUUAUCCGAAAACCGAGUAAAGAAAACACAGCCGGGGAGGACCGCGAGUGCGCGGGCCAAUCGUGUGGGUCCCCCGCGGAGCACUUUGUCCCAAUUGGAAUUAAAAUGCUUAGUAUGCUCAGUUGUAAUUAAAAUGCUUAGUCACUUAUUCCUAAUCAUUCUGAUUUUCACGUUAUUUUAGGUCCAUAAACAGUUUUCACACAUGUUUCAAUGCUUCUUGUAAUGACAAUUUCACAUCUUGCAUCUCUAACGUGCAUCACGUUUGAAACAGCUUUCGCGGUAAAGUCUUCGAUGCUUGUACAAUGGCUGUGAAGAGGCACAUUAAAUUCGGUACAUUUUGGUGCGGCCUCCUAAUGCUGGUAUAAUGUUGUGUAUAUUUAGUUUGCAAUUAAAACUUAGGUAUACAAAUCUUAAUCUGCAAUAGAUCGUAGUGUACAAAGUUUCUAUUAAUGAUAUGGUGACUGAAAUUUUAAUUAUCUUAAAAUUUUUCUCUGACUCUCUUUUACUUUCUUUGUACAGAGUACCUGUUUUGGCUGAUGUGUCUAAUUCAUAGAAAUUCAUUUCCAUCGGUUUCCAUUGGUUUGAGCACAAACAGAAACAGAGGUCUGAGGAAAAGGUUUACUUCUUGCGGUAUUAUGCCUUUGUUUCUUUAUUCACCAUAUUUGUUCGAAUUCAUGCCCUCAUUAAGAAUUUAAAGCCUUUUCCAGGCAGCUUUGUAGCCAAAUUUUGAUGCCAUAAAUGCAUGAUUGUCAUUUAGAUUUUCCGAAUAUUUGUUAUUUGGAGAAAUAUUGUUAAAAGAGCAUUUGAUUAGCUACUUACCCUAUGAAUUUAGUUGCCAAUAAUACAUUGAAAUUGAGUAGGGUAAUGGUUGAGGAAAGUUAUUGUCUUAAUUAAAUUACAGGUGAUAAGAUGUUGCUUGAAAUCAGCAUGUUAUAUGGCGAUGAUUUUGCCCACAUGAGACGCUGUGAUUCUUGACAUUGGGAUAACUCAGGUCACUCAUUCUGAAUCUUUUCUAAUUUUCAAGUUCCUUAGGGCCAUGACUAGUUUUUCAAGUCUGCAUGUGGCUGCAAAUGAUUGAUGGUCAUAAAAUUAUCUUGAGCCUUGAGGCAUUGCGUUUGAGCGCACACAGAAACAGAGCUAAAGGAAAAGAACUUGACAGUCGAAGAUGCUCUAAAUAUAACAAAAGUAUAUUUCUACUUCUUGUGGUUAUUUUACUGUUGUCUCUUCGGUCAUCAUAUUUGAUUAAUUGUUCGAAUUCACACUCUCACUUAUUAUUUAAAACCAUUCUUAUGUGGCUUGCAAGCUAAUUAAGUUAAAGCAGAAACAAUACUAUAGACGAAGAUGAGCAAAUUGAAGGUGAUAAGUGCAUAUAUAGUGGCCAAGUCGCUUAUUAUACGUCUCUCAUACUAACAUGAUUCUGAAUUUGAAUUUCCAUGAAUAAUUGUUAGGCUGGUGCACUUAUUCUUGAAAGGGCGUUAAGCUACCUUAUGAAAUUGGAAAGUUAUUAUUGCUUGAAUGCAAGCACCGUCUUCUGUUGCAAAGGCUUUCCCCACAUGAUGAGAUGCUGUGAUUGUUACCGGACCCUUAAUUAUUUAACUCAGGAUUUUAUCAUCAACCACAUCAUCUUAUUCACCAUUUUGGAUAUAUAUAAAGAUUAAAAUUUCUAACAGUUGUUUCGGAUUCUUGUGUAAUCAGAUAAAUGGGGCAAAUGUCAGAACAAAGAUUGCUCAGUGCUGCUGGUAGGGCAAGGAUGAUGAUGGUGAGGAAGAUUGCUCACAAGCCAAGUAGAGCCCUCCAUUUUGAGAAAUAUCAUCCUCAAAUUUGAAUUGUUGAGCAUAUGAAGUGAUGCUAAAGCCUUAAUAUUAAGUCUUUCUGAAAGUUUCAUUUGAAUGAAUUUUCGGAGAUUGAAUGUUAUUAGAGUGAGUAAGAAAAUUAAGCACAUAUCUGCGAUUUGGGUUGUCGGUGAAUGUUCUCCUUUAAUAUUUGUACACACCCAUUUCUUAGUAAAAUUUUCUUCAUGUCUUUUACUAUGACAUAGGCUAAUAGCCGUACCAUAUAACGUUUUCUUCUUAUUUCUUUAUGCUUGGUUUUGCUACAUAUCAUUUCUGUACAUUCAAGAAAGCAAUUUUGUAACUACUUAACUCUGCUUCGGCAAAGUUAAGUAGUUACAAAAUUCUUUUUUUUUUUCCUUUUUCUUUCUACGAUAAACUUGCCACAAAUGGAAGCGAUUGGCUUGAUUUUUGCUUCUGUAAAAAGUGGUGGGAGCAAUGUCUUGUGUACCCGCAAGUUAUAAAUCGUCAUAGUUUAAAUGAAGAAUCCCGAGUUGCCAUCCAAAACUAAAGAAAUUGCAAAUUAAGUAGUUCAUUACAAAUGAUAUAUUUUGAGUUGCUAAUUAUUAAGUAUUUCAUUCAAAAAUGUUCUCGUUCCCACAAUUCCUAAUGUUUAAAGUGCAUCAUUGCUCUACUUCUGUCAUAACAGCAUAAGAGAAUUUAACAUAAUACUGAGAAAAUGAUUAUUUUACCCUAAAUGUAAAUGAUUAUUCUACCCUUAACAUAAAAUAACUAUAUUUGCCCUAAUUUAAUGACGAAAGAAAAAAUAGAUGACUGCAAUAUAGAUAUUAAAUAAUAAAUAAAAUAAAAAAUCAGAAUUAAAACUAAAAUAAUUAAAAGAGAGCUCAAGAGAAAACGCACUUUAAUCUGGUACCUGUACCCGUGGAUCGUGGCGAUGGCGGAUUGGGGCUUAUUAUCAAGUCGUUAAAAAUUUUAAACUUUCAAAUUUUUUUAAACCUUGAAUUUUUUAGUUUAUUGGUUAAGCGAUAAAAUUUGGUGGUAGUAUGAUACUGUGUUGUAUAUAUGUUGUGUUAUUUUAGCUUUGUUAUUUUGGGGCAAUCGUUGGAUUUUUCAAUAAAUUAUAGGACCACAGCGAAAACAAAUGUGGCGGUUUGCCUUCUUUGGCUCCUGACGCUGAUAAUCAUUCACUCGUUGAUUUUAGUAAAGAAAUCGACGAUCCCAACCGAAGGAGAAAAAUGACUGGCACAGCAGGUUGUCCGUUACUAGUUAUGCAUUGUCAUUGUAGAAAGUUUCAAGCAGAUGGGAUUAUAUAAUUCUUCUUUAAAUACGACGUCGUUUUUGUCCGUUAAGAGUCCAAUGACAAGUUUAUCAUUCUGACAUGAGUAAAAUUCUAACGGCGUGAUGACAAUAGUAUAGAAAUGAUACAUUUUGUAAACAUCAGGUGGAAUUGUUAUAAAAAAAAAAGUGGUCGUGUAUUUUUUAUAAAGUCUAAAACAUCAAGUGAUUAGAGAAUAUUUGUGCUUAAGUAUUUCAUUCAAAAAAAUUUCCACUCCUAGACUAUUUGAGUUGUUACCAAAACUGAUAAUUUUUUUUUUUUUCAUGAUGAAUCUCGAUAUUUAGGAUGAAUAUUUUAAUAUUUAAGCUUAAUGGUCAAUAAUCGGCCCACUAUUGGUAGUAGAAUUUUUAUUCCAACACUAUACAAUUUUCGUGUGAGGUGAUCUUAGUCUUAUCUCAACCUCAAAAGUCAAUAGCUAGUUCAGUAAGUGAGAUUUUUUUUCUCACACUUAUGAAAUCACCACAAGCUCCUCCCACAACCAAUGUGGGAUAAUCCCAACAAUCUCCCCUCACUCAUCAGGCCUUGGGUUGGAAGCAUAAACAUCCAUUCUCCCUAUUAGAUUGUUGGUUGAGUUGUUGGUGAACUUGAGCUUUGAUACUAAUGUUAGAUGGUCUUGGGCUUCUCUCGACUUCAAAAGCUAGCUCAAAGAGAGAGAUAUUCCCUCACAUUUAUGAGGUCAUUAUCAGCCUCUUCCACAAUCGAUGUCGGCUAACCCGACGUUUCUCUCUCUAUAUAAUACAUAAGUUGGAUAACAAAUUUAUAUCUCAAUCUAGGUAUAAACAUUAAUUUUAUUUCUUUUUAUCAAUCAUUAUCCUAUUGGGUCUAUCGACUCACCGUACAAAAUGUUGUAAAACUUCCCCGCCGAAGAGACUUUGGUAGCUUUGAGUUUGUAAAUCAAGUUCCUAUCCGUCGUCCCUCCUAAUCCAUUCUUCGGCGAAGUACGCCUGACAUUCUUGUACCUUACAACGUCAUAUUUGGCACAAAAUUCAUGAAACUUAAACCAAACACUAAACUAUUAUUAGUUCUCAACAUUUUAUAUCAUUCGACGUUUUGUGUCAGAAUAAAUAUUUUAUCUUUGAACUUCGCAAGCACUUAUUCAUGGCUUAUUUCUCAACUCACUAUGGAUUAAUGAUGCUGAUGAAAUUGUGGAUUAACCAGACAAUAUUGUAAUUAUUACACAUACACACAAGCACACGUACAUACGUACAAAAGCAUAUAGGAGUUGACCUUGCUCAGGAUUUAAAAAAAAAUGAAUAAAAUUUUCCAAUAAUUAAUUAAGAUAAAAAAGAUCAUUAAAACCCGAGUACCCCUCGCAAUUGUGUCACUUGAAUUUUCUGUAUUUAUGCACAUAUAAUAUUUUGAAUGAAUCUAUAAUGAUGUUAAUUUUUUAAUCAGCUUAAUCUUAAAUUAAAAUUUUCUUUUGAAAAAAAAUGAAGAAAUCUUAAAAUAUUAUAAAAUAUAGAUCAGUUGGAAAACUAUUCCUAGAAAUGCAUCUUAGUUUUAUUCUUGGAAAAUGUUUCCUUUCGCACUUGCGAGGAAUUAGAAAUUGAACAAUAAUUUUUAGACUUUUCAUUGUCUUUGUGGUUAUAUGGUUGUCUUUAAUAUAAAUAUAUGAUCCCGGAGGCCAAAUGUCUAAUUCACAUGCAUUUACCUAAUCCUUUUUUUUUUUUUUUUUUUUGGGAUAGGGCAAUUACCUAAUACCUUGAAGAAAGAGAGAUAAAAUAUAAUUCAUGCCAAUUUGUUGCAACAAAGCUUUCAUAUCAAGCGUUGGCAUAAAUUAUUAUGCCAAUUUGUUCAAGACAAUAUCUUUAGUUGGCAUGUAAUUUUCAUUAGCCGGCGUCUACUCUUAAUUUAUGUCAAAUUAAGUAAUCGCUCCGCCCCAAUAAUGUUGCCUUUGAUCUCUCAGCCCCAGUAAAAGAAUUGGGUGAAAGAGAAUGUUGGUCACUGUUUAAGCAAGUAUGCUUUUGGCGGUCCUUUGAGGAUCUUCAAAAUUUAGAACCAAUCAAAAAUAAAAAAUUUCAUACAAGUGUAAAGGCUUGCCUCUUAAUGCAAAGGUAAUACGAAGUCUCUUGCUGACAUAUACAUCCUUUUCUUUAUAAUCUUUUACUUAUAUAUAUAUAUAUAGGGAGAAUGACAAUUUUCUCCCAUACUGUAAUCAAUAUAUAUCAUUUACGUCCUACUUUUUUAUAAUAACCAAUAAUCUUUGGAUAGCAUAAUUUAACAAUAUUAUUUUUGGUUUAUUUUAAUUUUUGUUCAUUUGAUUUCAUAGUAGUAGUUUUCAUUUUUUUAGUUUAAAAUUUGUAAAAAUGAACUAAAAUGAGAUAAUUUUGAAAAAGAAUCAAAACAAAAAAGGCCCAAAAUUACCCCUGUUCCGAACAUUAUCUGAAUCCAUCAUAAUUGACCCAAAUUCAAAUUUAACUCAAACCCAACCUCGGCCUCAUAUAAUUAUAACCUGAUCCGAUCUAGACUCAACCCCAAAGUUUUGAUUUGAUCUAAUCCAAUUCGAAUAUUCCAAGCCAAUCAACCUAAAACCCAAUCAAGUUGAUCCAAACCCAAAUUUGCGCACUCCUAGAGGGGACCAUCACCCUAUAAGCUUUGAAAUUUUUUUUGAGGUUUUUAAAUGAAAUAUUCAAAAUUAGGUAUAAAAUGACUGAUUUGCCCUUGAAUACUUGAUACAUAAACUUGAUACAUAUAAUGAAACUUUAAUUGUAUAUUUUGUGAAAUAAAAUCAAUUAAACCUGAUUUUUUGAUUUUUAUUUGUUAAUUAUUUUUCAUAGCCUUUUUUAAAAGUUUGUAAGUUUGGGCCUACCUCUUUGAUUUUUAUUUUGUUCAUUUUGCUUUCUCUUGCAACAAUAGUUUCAAAUAUCAGUCACAAAAUUCUCAAAUUUUGGAAUACCCUACAUACUAUUACUAGCUAUAAAUAGAAAAAACUGAAUAAAAUUAAUCCCCAGCUAACACUUGAAAUUUGAACUUGGGCCUCAUGAAGAUUUACUCUGAGCUCCGCCCCUGAUAUGCAAUAAAAUAUUAGUUUUGCUAGAGAAAUUGCCAAUUAUGUUUUUUUUUUUUGUAUUUUCCGCUUAGGGAAGAAGAAAUUUCCUACAACUAUUGUGGUGAAUAUAUUGUGAAUUUAUGACAGUUUAAUCUUUAGUUUGCCACUUGCUUAAAAUGAAAAAGGGAAAAGGGUAUUUAUAUCUCUAAGGUUUGGAGAAAUAGUCACCAACACUACAAGUUUUCUAAAAAGGACAUCAAGACUCCUUUUUGACCAUAAUACCCUUUAUCUUUAGUAUCUCGAAAAAUUUAACUUGCAAAUGAAUAAAUACAAAUAUUAUAUAAAUAAUGUAAUCUACGCUGUAGAUUAAUAAUAUUAAAAUAUUUGAAUAAAUUUAAAUAUGUAAAUUAAUAUAUUUAUUUAAUAAUAUAUUUGUAUUUAUUGUAGAGAUUUUAAAUAAAUAUUUGCAUUAAAUACAUUUUACAAUUAAAAAAGUCUCACAUACUAAUAAUGUUAAAAUUAUUAUUUUACAUAAUAAUUUAAAUUUUAAUACAUUUAUUUUUAAUAUUAUGUUUACAUUUAUCAUAAAAUUUACUUUAACAUAAUAAAAUAUAUUAAUAGAUUGUAAAAUAUUAAAAUAUUUUUAAAUAUUGAAAUUAUUUUAAAAUGUAUAAAUUAUUACAUUUAUUUUAAUAUUAAAAUCAUUAUGGGACUGAUUUUAUUCUCUCUUUUUUCUCAACAAAAUAUCCGACUGCAGAUGUAAUAAAUUACUAAUUACAAUUAUUUGAGUCCCACUCUAAAUUAGAUUUUGAAGUUUGUCCUGACAUAAUAAAGUUACAUUCUCAAAUGACCAAAUGAAUUAAUGAGUCUGACAAAAAGAUGUUGUCGGCCAAGUUGAAAAAUAUAAUAAAUAAAUUGUCAGGAGAUGAUUUUUUCUGAAAUUUCACUUUCAAGGUCCAGAACACAUUCAAAUUUCCGCUGAAAUUCAUAAUGGAUUCAUAUGAUCGGGCGAAAUUACACUAUACAAUUUCAUCAAUACCUAUUAAACGAUAAAAAAUUUAUUGAUUAUUUAUAAUUAAAAAAAAUCUAUCUACUAAGACUAUUCUAGAUCAACAAUUAAUAUAUUAUAUAUAACUUCAGAAGGUUCAUCGGUGUAUUGAUCUAAGCCUUUUGUAGCAGUUUAUAAAUAUUUUGUUGCUUAUAAUGUAAGAAAUUUUACAGGAGUUGAUGCUGAGUAGUCUGAAUAAGAAAAUUAAUUAUAUUGUAAGUUAUUGGGUAUUCAUAAUAAAAUAAACAAAUAAAAAAUGAAUAAAAAUUUAAAUACUUAAUUAAUUUUUAUCAAAUUCUUAUCAAAUAUUUAAAAUAUAUAUAAAAUCAAUUAAUUGAUGAUGUUGUUAAUUUUCAUGAUAUUUUUAAUAUUAUAUUAGUGAUUAUUAAAUUUAAUACAAUCAAUAAUGCUAUAAAUUAUUAAAUGGUUAAUUUUAUUGAAAAAUUAUCAAAUAUGCAAAUAAUGAAAAAUUAAUCUCAAGAGUUGGUAGAAGUAAAGUUCCAAUUUAAUCAGAUGAUAGAUAAUAAAUAAAAAUAAUUUUUAAGUAAAUUAUAAAUUAAAAAAUAAUUAAUAUUAAGUAUAAAUAAACAAUAAUGAUAGAAAUUAAAGUCUCAUAAAUAGAUAACUUUUUUUCUUUAAUUUUAUCCCAACUAAAAUCAUGUGUAAAUUAGAAUGAUUAAUCCCAUAAUUUUAGGAUGAAACUUAAAUUUAGUCCCCGAGUCCAAUUCAAUUAAGUUUAACAAACAUGAGAUAAAUAUUUAAUCACAAAAUUAGUCCAAUUUCAUACUUAAUCCUAGUAUAUGAACAUGGCCUGAUAAAAUAAUUUAGGUAAUAUGCUUCUAUGACUUACAAUUUAAAUAAAUUUGAGAAUUUAUAUAAGGGAUGGAAAAUUCAUAAUAAUCAUAACAUGUGCUAUCUUUUCUUCCUUUUCUUAAUUAAAUAAAAGAAAAAUAUUCAUCACAGAACCACUGCUGUUUAAAAUGACCCGAUGAUCGAUGAAGUCGCAUUCGCCUAUCUAAUAUUGCGCAAUCAGAUAAAUUCUCAAAUUUUAAAUGAAUUUAAUCUGCAAUUAUAUCUAUAACUACACAAUAAAGAUUAAAAAAUUUCAAAUUAUACUUGAGUUAAAAUUUAAUUCUUUUUUAUUGUUUAAAGUAAUUUAUUUAUAAUUAUUUUAACCCAAUUAGAUUUAUUUUUUUUAAUGCUUGUUCUAUGACAGAAUUGGUCCUCAAAGUUUAAUUAAGCUUGAGAUGGAUACUCUCAGCAAUUUAUUACCUAUUUUAUUAGAAUCUAAGAGGAAAAGAGAGUUGCGAUUUGUAUGUGUAGAAAGAAAAUGUCAAAACGAAAUGUUAAUGUCACUUGUAGAGAGAGAGUUGGGACUGAUGACCAUAUACCUUUUUCCGCCCCUAAUAAUUAGAGCUUGCUUGACGAUAGUGAAGAACUAAUGAGACUGAGGAUCUGCAAUUUAGUCAUGAAAAAUUAGUGACUAAAUACAACUAAAUUUCAGUUUUCUCUUUCUAAUUUCUUUGGGAUCCAGAAAAAAAAAAAAUCCCCCUCAAUUUUCUGUUUGCAAGGGGGUAGCUGUAAGCACAGUCUGAUUUUAUUUUCAGGGAAUAAUAUCGGUGAACCACCGUCGGGAAAAAUUUGAAGUCUAAACAGGUCAUUCACAGAUAAGGCCAAAGAGUAAAACAGGUCGUUCAUCGUGUGUUUGGAUUCCUUUCAUCUUAUUAAUUAUUGAAGACAAGAUGAAAACGCAACUAAUGUCAAUAUUUUAAUUUGGAAUGGGGGCCGUGUAUGGUGUAUAAAAUAGCAUUAAUUGUUGUCUGUGUUUGUUGUUUAAUAUAUAUAUAUAUAUAUAAGGGAAGUAAAUAAUUAAUGCUAUUUUAUACACCAUACAUGGCCCCAAUUCCAAUUAGGGUAAUUCAAUAAUUUAAUUUUUUUCAAGAUGACUUUCAUCUCAUUGGCAGGCCGGCUAAGACAUUAAUCAUGCCUUUCAUCUUAUGAAUUAUUGAAGACAAGUAGCUGUUCGACGCCUGCACUUUUCAAAUCUGAAGAGCAAUUAGACAAUAUUUCUAUUUCAAAUUGGGGCCACACUCCAAAAAAAUUGCAAUAAUUCUCUGUUUUAUACCUAAUAUUGCGCAAUCAGAUAAAAAAAGGGUCGGCUGCAUGAUUUUUCCAACUUUUGUUUUGUUUUUUCUCUUUUCCACGGGCAUGGGCCCCGACCACCACAAAAUAAUUUGAGAAUGUUAUAUUUAACAAUUCUCUUUUUGUCGUGACAUAGUGGACUAAAACGGAAUCACAACUUUUUCAAAUGACCAAAUGGCUUCGCCCUACCUGAUAAUAAAAGGCCAUAUAGAUGAGAAAUGGAUCCAUACGUUAAAGCUAAAUUGAAACAUAUAAUAAAUAAAUUGUCAGGAGAUGAUUUUUAUCAAAAAUUUCACUCGCACGGUCCCGACCAAAUACAAAUUUGUGAUGAUAUUCAUAAUGAAUUUAUACAAUUAGGCGAAAUUACUCUAUAUAGUUUCAUCGAUAUAUAUUAUACCAUUAAAAAUAUACUACUAUUUAUAAUAAAAAAAAUUUAUGACUAUUCUAAAUCGACUGUAUUAUAUUUGAACUCACAAGAUUCAUAGAUAGAUUGCACUGAGCUUUCUGUUGCAGUUUACAAAUAUUUUGUUACUAAUUAUCUUAAGAGCGGCAAGUAACUAAAUACAAAUGUAAGAAAUUUUACAAGUGCUGAUGCUGUGUACUCUGCAGAAAGCUAGCCCCAGACGGUGACUCCUGUGGGGACUCCUUCAAUUUGCAGCACAAAAGAACGUUCACAUUGACAUUGACUUGAGGGUAAAAAUUAAAUAACUCCUAUGGUAUAAGAAGAAUGCAAACAUGCUUGAAUGAACAUUCUCUCAGAAUACAUAAAAGCUACUUUCCUCUGAGCAUUUUAGCAAGAAAAGCAAUUGCUGCAUUUACCAUUUGAUCUAAUAUCAGAAUGGCUCAUGCGAUCGUUUCCUCUCUCUUGGACCAGCUGAAAUCCAUUGCUCAAGAUCAGGUGAAAGAAAAGUGGAGGCUUGUGACGGGUGUCGAACAAGAAGUGGGAAAGCUUACCACCAAUCUUCAAGCCAUUCAAGCUGUGGUGGAAGAUGCAGAGCAGAGGCAAAUGAAGCAGGACAAAGCUGUUACUUUUUGGCUGGAUCAGCUCAGAGACGCAUCCUACGACAUGGAAGAUGUGUUGGACGAGUGGAUCACUGAAACACGGAAAUUGCAGCUUGAUGAGGGAGGCGAUGAUGAUGAUGAUGAUGAUAACGACAGUGCUUUUGUUACUUUUUUGACGAAGGUAUGUUCCUUCUUUCCUGCUGCCUCAAACUGCUUUGGUGGUUUCAAACAACUCAGUCUUCGUCAUCAUAUUGCUGUCAAGAUUAGAGAAAUCAGUAAAAGGCUAGAUGAAAUUGCCACUCGAAAAGAUAGGUUUAAUUUUGUUGAGAAUGUGAGUAACAAUGUUAGGAAUCCAGAGCGAGUGCGAACCAUCUCCUUGAUUGAUGAGGGAGAGGUUUGCGGUAGAGUUGAGGAGAAAAAUGAGCUCUUAAACAAGUUGUUGUGUGAAAGUAGUGAACAACAAAAAGGCCUUCAUGUCAUUUCACUAGUUGGGUUGGGGGGUAUAGGUAAAACCACUCUUGCACAAUUGGCGUAUAAUAAUGAUGAGGUGAAAAGGAAUUUUGGCAAAGUUAUAUGGGUGUGUGUAUCAUACACUUUUGAGGAGAUUAGGGUCGCCAAAGCAAUCAUUGAAGGUCUAGGCGUGUCAGCUUCUGGUUUAAGCGAAUUCGAAUCUCUUAUGAAACAGAUUCAGGAAUAUAUUACGGGGAAGAAAAUUUUUCUUGUUUUAGAUGAUGUGUGGGAUGGAGAUUACAAAAAAUGGGACCCAUUCUUUUCUUGUCUAAAGAAUGGCCACCAUGAAAGUAAAAUUCUAAUUACCACACGUGAUAGGUCAGUUGCACUGCAGUUGGGAUCAAUAGAUAUUAUCCCUGUCAAGGAGUUGGGUGAAGGGGAAUGUUGGUUACUGUUUAAGCAGAUAGCAUUUCUACGUAGGUCCUUUGAGGAUUGUGAAAAAUUAGAACCAAUCGGGCGAAAAAUUGCAUGUAAGUGCAAAGGCCUGCCUCUUGCUGCAAAGGUAAUAGGGAAUCUCUUGCGCUCUAAAAGUACAGUAAAAGAGUGGCAAAGAAUUUUAGAGAGUGAAAUGUGGAAAGUAGAAGAGAUUGGACAAGGUAUUUUGGCUCCUUUGUUGUUGAGUUAUAAUGAUUUGCCCUCCAAUUCUAUGGUAAAACGGUGCUUCUCAUAUUGUGCUGUCUUUCCAAAAGACUACAAUAUGAACAAAAGGGAAUUGAUUAAUCUAUGGAUGGCUCAAGGUUACCUUAAUGCAGAUGAAGACGAAGAAAUGGAGAUGAUUGGAGAAGAGUAUUUCAACAUCUUAACUACGCGCUCUUUCUUUCAAGAAUUUCAGAAAAAUGACGAUGAUAUUAUGAGUUGCAAGAUGCAUGACAUCGUACAUGAUUUUGCUCAAUUUGUAAGUAGCAAAGAAUGUUUGUGGCUAGAAAUUAAUGGUACCAAGGAAUCAGUCAUAAACUCUUUUGGUGACAAAGUCCGUCACUUAGGGUUAAAUUUUCAAGGAGGCACUUCAUUUCCUAUGUCCAUUCAUGGACUUAAUAGAUUGCAUACCCUAUUAAUUUAUGAUGAAGGUCUUUUCAAUCCAUCUCUUAAUAAUAGCAUCCUUUCGGAGUUAUUUAGUAAAUUGGCAUGUUUAAGGGCAUUAGUUAUAAGGCAAUAUUACCUUUUAGGUUCGCAUCCUGAGGCAAAUUGGAUUAGAGAAAUUCCAGAAAAUGUUGGAAAAUUGAUACAUUUAAAAUAUCUUAAUUUGUCUGAAUUAGUCAUAGAGAGACUACCUGAGACUUUGUGUGAAUUAUAUAAUUUACAAAAGCUAGAUAUUAGGCUGUGCCGAAAUCUUAGAGAAUUGCCAGAGGGGAUUGGGAAGUUAAUGAACAUGAGGAGUUUACUGAAUGGUGAAACUCGUUCGUUGAAGUACAUGCCAAUAGGGAUUUCCAAAUUAACCAGUCUUCGAACAUUAGAAAAGUUUGUUGUGGGUGGAGGUGUUGAUGGUGGCAGCACGUGUAGGCUUGAAUCUCUGAAAAAUCUUCAACUCCUUCGUGAAUGUAGAGUACAAGGGCUGAGUAAUGUAUCGCAUGUAGAUGAGGCUGAGAGGUUACAACUUUACAAUAAGAAAAACCUCCUUCGUUUGGGUCUUCAGUUUGGUAGAGUCGUAGAUGGGGAAGGCGAAGAAGGGAGGAGGAAGAAUGAGAAAGAUAAACAACUUCUUGAAGCCUUACAGCCGCCUUUGAAUGUAGAGACAUUAUGGAUUGUAUACUACGGAGGCAACAUUCUUCCCAAAUGGUUGACUUCACUAACCAAUCUAAGGGAAUUAAAACUUCUCUCCUGCGUUAACUGUGAGCAUUUGCCUCCUUUGGGAAAAUUGCCUCUGGAAAAACUCGAACUAUACAAUUUGAAAAGUGUAAAAAGAGUGGGUAAUGAGUUUUUGCGAAUAGAAGAAAGCAGUGAGGAUGGCCCGUCUUCUUCUUCAUCAUCACCAUCAGUUAUUGCCUUCCCCAAAUUGAAAUCACUCAUAAUUGAGGAAUUGGAUGAAUUGGAAGAGUGGAAUUACAGGAUUACGAGGAAGGAAAACAUCUCCAUCAUGCCACGUCUUUCUUCCUUGGAAGUUCGUUCUUGCAACAAAUUGAAGGCGCUGCCGGAUUACCUUCUUCAGACGACGGCACUGCAGGAAUUGACAAUUUGGGAAUGUCCCAUUCUGGAAAACCGUUAUAGAGAGGGGAAAGGAGAAGACUGGCAUAAGAUAUCUCACAUUCCCCACAUCCAGAUGUCACCCGACGGUAAUUUCUCCUCCUCUGAUUUACUCUGUUGUUGCUUGCAAUGAAAUUAAUAAAAAUAUUUAUAUUUUGAAUUAAAAUUCUGUAUAUUGCCAAUGUCUGAUGGGAAUAUAUAAUAUUUUCUAAUAUUUUAAUUUACGUAUUGAAUUCAAUUAUUUACUUGAACCAUUAAUUUAAUGGGUCACUCUAUGAUAUUGUUAUAAAAAUUGUAAAAUCAAUCAUGGUAUAAAUAUGUACUGUUAGAUUUAAUCAAUAGUUCAAAAAAUUAGAAAGUUAGUUAGGAUAAUAUUUUAAUUUUAGUUAUUUAAAAUUUAAAUUUCCUAGUUAUCAAAUCAGUUAAACUUGUUUUCUAAAGAUUAAAUAAUUAAAAAAAACAAGUGUAGUCUGAUGAAAUUUCUAUAUUUUCUUUUAAAAAAAUUGUAGUCUUUUGUAAAAUUUCAUACAACAUCAUAGAAAAUCCUAAUAUAUUUUAUUUUUUAAUGCACGAAAAUUUGCUAUGUGCAACUUCCUGAGAGACAAAAUCUCUGUGAUACAUUUGCGGAAAUGUUGAAAACUAAAUCAUCAAUUUUAUCUUGUAUAAUGAUAAUCGUAUUUUUUUAUAUAUAAUUUAUGUGACAUUAAUUCUUUAAAGUAAUGGGGUAAUUGUUUUUACAACAUUAGCCCACUUUGUUUUAUUUCAUACGAGUUUAAUUAUGUUCACCAGGGAUUCGAGAAAAAAUCAGAAUAGCCCUCCUUGUUCAUCAGGCGGGAUCUGCUCUAUUGGAAGAGUUUAAAGCAGUUGAUACGUCUUGAAAAUUGUUAUUGCGGAUGAAUUCAUUCCUGAAGACGAGUAUCCAAAGGCGUAUUUUCAUAAACUUCCUUUGUUAACAAAUGUUCCAACGCUUGCUGUAGUAACAAUUUCAUCGCUUGCAUCUCUCGGGUGCACCAUGUUCAUGGGUUAGAAAAAGCAUUUGUGGUGAAGCUUCAAAGCUUGUAAAAUGGCUGUGAAAAGGCACAUUCAAUUCGGUAUGCUUUGGCGCGGUCUCCUAAUGCUAAUAUUAUAUUUUAUAUAGCAAUCUUAAUAUGCAAUAAAUCAUUGUGCCCAAUUUUCUGCCUGUCGAAGAGACACAACAUGGAAGUCCUCAUCAAACUCUGAGACACCUAAGAACUAGUAGGAGGUGGUGGCGGGGAUUUGUCCCCGCCAUACCUUAAAGGUUAGGUAUUUAUCCAACUACACCCCCAUAGUUUAAAAUUUCUUUUAUAUACCUUUUUCAAUGUGCAAUUACAGAAUUACCCCAAUUUAAUUCUUCAAAUUUCAAAAUCUACCUUCACGAGCUACCAUACACAACGCCUGCUGCUGCAAGUUCAUCCACCACAUUAAAGGCUACAAAAUCACCGAAUUAAAGGCUGAAAAUUCACCAAACUAAAGGUCAUUAACCACAUUUACACUUGAUUUUUACUUUAUAAAGAGAAUUUAUGGUGCAUAAUUGUUAGGGUUAUAUGCAUUAGGGUUUUAAAAAACAAAUUACCCACAUGAUUUUGGUCAUUAUCUUGCUUAUUUACUGAUAAUCUUUCUUGCUGGUAAUGUAAUGAAGCUUCUUGAACUUGUGGAUUUGAAAUUGAAGAGAGUGAUUUCAUGGCUCUUUAAUAAUGGUUGUGGGAGUUCCUAAUUAAAUAUUCAUAGAGAAUUGGAUGAAACAAAUAUUAUCCUUAUGAAUACUCGGUUAUGGCUACACUAGUUUAUGCAUUAGAUCUUUAUAUAAUUUUACUUGUUGUUUGUAGUUGAACUUCAUCCAUGGGAAUUAUAUAUCAAUUUUCUUCAGCUGCGUAUGCAUUCCUUAUGCUACAAUCUGGGUUUUCUCUAUUAUUUGCUAUAGAACCUUUAUUUUGCAAUUCUAAUUUAUUAACAAUUUGCUAUUUGUUUCAGCAUAAAACUAUUGAUAGUACACUAUUAAUAAAUGUGUUUUGAACGACUUGUGAAUUUUGAAACAAUGUUCGAUCAUUUUAUUAAUUUGUCUCAUUGUGAGGCUAUUGACUGAAGAAGUCACAUAGCAUUUAGGAUUUGAUAUUAUUGUGCAGCAAAUGUUGUUGUAUAUAUUUCCAACUAGUUAACUAUUGGAGAAUUGCCCUUUAAUACACUCCUCCUAGACUUGUUUUUAGUUUUUGACAAUUAUACACAUACUUAAUAGCUUAUUAAUCAGAUUGAACUAAUGAAAAUUAAUUGUUUGAGUGUUAUGGAAAAAUUCAACAUUUUCUUUGAAUAUUUAUACUUUAUUUGGAAUUGUUAACAUACUUGAUACAUAAAGUUUGAUUUUUAUGUCAUGUGGCAGUGAUGGUUUAUUUCUUAUUUUUGUUUAUAACUCAUUUAAAAAUUAUUUGAGUUCAUAGUUAUUGGCAAUAUAUUUUAAUUUGAUGGGUUUGUUCUUGAAAUAAUAUAGUUAUGCUGAUCCUGUAGAUACUAGUUGUAAGAAAGUCAUGUUAUCUUAUAUAUAGAACAUUUUUAAGUUGUAAAACAUUCUCAUAUCUGUUUGCUUUUAUGUUGUGUGAUCAUUUAAUAGAUUGAUAAUAUAUUACGACAGUGAUAAUAAGUUUGAAGUAUUAUUUUUACUACAAACUGAAAUUAUAUUUUUUCGACUUAACAACAACAAUGGUGAUAUUUAACGAUUGAUUUAUAUGAAUUUUUUUAGUGGUGAUUGUAGAGCAUUUUUGUUGCAGUUCUUGGAGGUCCUGGCCCACUGACUUGAUGUCAAUUUAUAUUGCCAACAAGAUGAUGUUGCACAAUUUCAAAAAGCAUUAGCUGUCAAAUUAUUUUGGAGUAGGUCUUGGAAAAAAAAACUACGUAGUCUCCCACUCUUAAAAACUUUAUUGAUGUGUCAUUUUUUGGAUUACUUAUCAUGAGAUGUAAUGAUUACAAUGGGAUGUUGUUGAUAUUUGAUAUCAUUAAAGUUAAUUUGACAUCAUACAUAUGUUUUUUUUAUUAAGUAUAUUAAUGACAGAGAAGAUAGUUUUAUAUAAUGUAUGUGAUGUAAUAGAAUGGUCAUAUAUGCUCAAGAAAUGCUCAACCCAAAUACAUGACUGCAGUCAAGUAUUUUCACAGAUACUCGACCGCAGUCAAGUAUUUGUAAACAUACAUGACCAGCUGGUAUUUGCAUUGGUUCACGACUGCAGUCAGAUAUUUUCACAGAUACUCGACUGCAGUCGAGUAUUUUCAAACAUAUAUGACCAGCUGGUAUUUGCAUUGGUACACGACUGCAGUUGGGUAUUUUCACAGAUACUCGACUGCAGUCGAGUAUUUUCAAACAUAUAUGACCUGCUGGUAUUUGCAUUAGUACACGACUGCAGUCGGGUAUUUUCACAGAUACUCAAAUGUAGUUGAGUAUUUACAAACAUACAUAACCAGCUGGUAUUUGCAUUGGUACACGACUGCAGUAGGGUAUUUUCACAGAUACUCGACUGCUGUCGAAUAUUUCCAAACAUAUAUAACCUGGUGGUAUUUGGAUUGGUACACGACUGCAGUCGGGUAUUUUCACAGAUACUCGACUGCAGUCGAGUAUUUGCAAACAUACAUGACCAGCUGGUAUUUGCAUUGGUACAUAACUUUAGUCGGGUAUUUUCAUAAAUAAACGACAAUAGUCGAGUAUUUAAUAAAUUCACAUUUAUAGUUGAGUACAAUCAGAUAUACACGACAAUAGUCGAGUAAGAGCCAAAAUACACGACUGUAGUUGGGUAAGUGGACAUAGAACAUAAAAUUACCUAAAACAUUCAUUAUAAUGACAACAAAAUCAAUAUAGGCUUUGACAUAUUAUACUUCAAUUUAAUAAAUAACAAAAGUAAUUGUGAAUCAAACAACAUAGAUCCAAUACAUGUUCAAAUCAUAAAUAAGUCGUAAUAUAAUCGAAGUUGCUGCACAAUCAUCAUAAUUAUUUGCAUGCUCAACCCAAACACUCGACCCAUGUAUUAUAAGGCCCCGUUCGCCUCCUUUUGAAAACAACAUAAGCCACACAACAUGUUUAUCCAGCUGCAAGACAAAAAAGGUAGAAAUUUAUCAACUAACUAUUUUAGAUAUUAAAGAAAUUAAAACAACAAAAAUGACAAGUAUGUAAGGUUCAUAGUAGUAUGUGUGCUUGUUUUUGUUUCAUUCGGUCUAACUACGGGCUCAUUGUUAGACAAUGAGAUUGGUGCAUUGCAAGUUAGUCGAUUAUAUCAUUGAGAACCACACCUACCGUACUUACGGCGUAACUUUUCUUCACCUUGUGAUGCUAUCAUAAUUUCUUAUGAUUCUAAAGAAUAAUAGGCACACAUACUGAAGUCACUUCAUGUAAUAAUACAACAGAUGAUUAUACAAAAAAAAAAAAAUCAAACAAGGUAUAUUAUGAAGUGUGGAACUAUCUGUCUAUUUACACGACAGUUGUCGUGUAAAUAACUAGUUUACACGAUAAUAGUUGUGUAACUUGCUAAAAUACACAACUAUAGUCUAGUAAACAGUUAUAGAAUAUGUUUAGUAAAAAAAUGUAAUCUUUAUACUAACAGAAUGCUAUGUGUCAUAACAACUACUAUAUCUUUCAAUCUUGCACAACUGCUAUCGUGUAAAUUCAUACAUACAUACAUGACAAAAGUCAUACAUACAUGACAAAAUGUUGGGAUCUCAUAACAGUUGGAACAUUUUACAUAUAUGUACAAUUAUAAUAUGUAAGUUCAUACGUACACGAUAGUAGUCGUGUAACUUAUUAAAACACACUACUAUAGUCUAGUAAUAGUAAAAUGAUAUAUCUAAUCAAAAUAAUAUAUUUUUUGCACCAAUAAAAUGAUAGGGUGUCAUAAUAAUUUGAAUCUUUUGCACAUUUUCACGACUACAGUCGUGUAAAUCCAUACAUACAUGACUGUUGUCGUGUAAAUCCAUACAUACACGACUACUGUCGUGUAUGUCGGGGUGCAGAACAAAAUUUUGGCAGCAACUUCAGGUUUUAACGAAUGUAGUUAUAAAAUCCAUCAAAUAACAGUCAUAUGAUGCAAAUAUAAUGAAAAUGUGAGUUGCUUUAUUGUUUAUCACAAACCAAACAAAACCCUAAAAAUAAUAUAAUGUCAACAAAAUAAAUAAAUAACACAAAAUAAAAAUAAAGUUUCAAAUACCUUAUUCAUGUGAUGAAUAAUGCACCCAGCUGCAAACUAAAAUCUCAGUGCAUUGGCUGUUCGUGAGUGAUUUUGAGUGUGGAGUGAGUUUUUGUUGUGUGGAGUUAAAAAGAGUGAGAAGUAAAGAGUGUUGGAGGUGAGUUGUGUGUGUUUUAUAUUUUUCUUUAGGGAUAUUUUAGACAAUGUACCAUAUAAAAAGGUAUAUCUAGAUAAUUUUCAAACAUGGGGUAUAUUUAACUAAAUACCCUACUUUUAAGGCAUCUUUAAUUAAAAACCCCAGGUGGUGGUAUUCGCCUGGUGUUUCCUGGCAAGUAUGGUUCACUGAUACAUGGAUUCUUUUCUUGAUGUCUAAGUACUAUAUGUGAUACAACGUUGUAUAUUCCAAUUUUUCUCCAGUUAAAUUCUAGUGAGUUAGGAAAUUUAAUUUUGUUUUAGCUAUGAAUUAUUUCCUAGAUAAUAAUAAUUGCCAUGUUCCUUUGGAGUCUUAUUUACUCCUACUUUAGGAAAUUCUAGUGAGUUAGGAAAUUAUGCACCGUCAACCCGUUUUUUCCAACUUUUUCAAAAAUACACAAUUCUUAUUUGACUGACUUGAUUUUUCUGACAUAAUUUUCUCCCAUUUCUAUAUUAUCAACGUUGAGUGCAUGUAAUCCACAAGUCUGAUUGAGCCAAAAGUCUAAUGACACUCACGUCCAAAGAUGCCGUUAUCACAAAGCCCUGGAUAAUUAAAGAGAUCAUUGUUCGAAAGAAAAGAAUGAUUUGUUGGUAUGAAAUUACGUUAAAAUGCAUAUAUCACUUUUUUUUUUGGCGUGGGUGAUGGCUUCGUUUAAUGACAGUUGGCAGACAAUGAGUCAUCUUUUAAUUUUAGUUUUGAUUUAUUAGAAAAUAUUAAUUUUUGUAGUUUCAGUAGAUGAAAUUUUGAAUCAAAUAUUAAUAUCGUUAAAGUACGAAGCUCAAUAUUUGCUUAAAUCAUAAAAAAAAAUAAUUGCUUUACAUUAAAAAAAAAAAGUGAUCACUUGAUUUAACUUCCUUAACUAAAUUUACGAUUUAAAAUCCAAAAUAGAAAAACGAAAACAAUUUUUGGAGUCACACUCGGAGUUUUAAAUUGACAUGAAAAAAGAGCUUAUUAUUGAUUAUCUUUUUCCGAAAAUUUAAGCUAAGAUAACAAUAUGUCCAAAAUACCCUCCGCAUUAUCCCAAAACUUUAUAAACUCCCCCGUUCCUCUCAACAUCAUCUCUUCCAAAUCUUUCUCCCCCAAAAAACCAGCCAUGGCUUCAUAUUCAAUUACCGCAACAAUCCAAUAUUGGCUAUAAACCACCCCCAAAUCCUCAACUUCACAUGGACUCAGAACCAAACACUAGCUUCUUCCCCUCACUUCCUCAUUCUCUCCAUCCUCACUUACCUCUCCCUCACAUUCAUCCUCUACCACACAUCAACAUCAACAUCACCACCAUCAUCACCUUUCAUUGGACCCCACAUCCUCAAGCCCAUCACAGCCGUCCAUAACCUCACCCUCCUCCUCCUGUCCGUCAUCAUGGCCGUUGGUUGCACUCUCUCCAUCAUCCUCCAUUUACCCCACCUCGAUUGCACCCUCUGUUUCCCCCCUACCAUUUCUCCGUCUGGCCCCCUCUUCUUCUACGCUUACAUCUUCUACCUCUCCAAAAUACUCGAAUUCUUAGACACCCUUUUGAUCAUUUUGUCAAACUCCGACCAACGGCUCAUGUUCCUCCACGUCUUCCACCAUGCAACCGUCGUCGUUAUGUGCUUCCUUUGGUUACAGACGAAGCAGUCUUUAGCUUCUUCCCAAAUUCAUCAAUGAACCCCAAAACCAGACUAAUCAUUAAAAUUAUUAACAACCAUUUGCUUGGAUCAAUGUAUACUUGGCAUGUCUAUGGGUUUAUAUAUUAUUAGAGCACUACUACUGAUUACAUUGGUUAUUUUUAUUUUUUUAAAAAUAGAUUAGAGGAUGUUUUUCAUUAAUGACACACAUAAAGUUUGAAUUAGUUAUAUUUUAGAAAUAGUAGGGAUAUAAGUGAUAUAUCUUUCCAACAUAAAUAUAUCAGUAACAUAAGUUAUUCUAUAAUUAACAGGGGUAUUAUCGUAUUUUAGUGAGUCAAUAUUGGUUGAUAGUUAAAUUUAACAGAUUUUAGAGAGUAAAUUGAAGUUUUUAUUUUUUAUUUUUGAGUAAAUUAAAAUAUGUAAAUCUCAUAAGGGGUUAAAAUAUAAUUUAUCCAAAAAUUAGUGUUAAAAUGUUAUAGAUGAGUGUAUAUUAAGAUGUUCAAAGUAUUAGAACAUAAAUAAUCUUAGUUUUAAUAAAAUUUUGCCACAUAGUGAAUAUUAUCCUCAACCUCAAGAGAAACCUAUCAAUAAAAUAUACAAAAAUAGAAUGCAUUAGUACAUGUCAAUAACAAGACCAAUUAGAUCAUGUCAUAUUUGUUAUGUAGUUAUUUAAGCUAAUAGAGUAAGAAGUCCCAAAUACAUGUACAUCAUAUCUUGGUAAAGAAAUCGGUUCUACCCGAAAUACUUCUUUGUAUUGAAAUCAAUGAUGAUUGCUUGUUUAAAUCAUGAAAGUUGAAAUAAUUUUGUAAAUAAUUUCAUUCUUUAAUUUACGGUAUAUAAAUAAAUUCAAAAAAUGUUAAUUUCUCCCAUACUUUUAGGACUAAAAAAAUAACAAAAUGUCUUAACAUAUUUAAUGGUUAUAUAUAAAUCAUCCGUACAUAUUUUUCUUGAGAGAAGCUCAAUUCGAUAGACAAUGCUCCCCUUAAUUUUCUUUUCUAGUUAGAUAAAAGAACAAAAGAAAUUGAUUACAAGAAUUCACGACGAAGUCACCUUGGUCUACAUGAUAUAUAUUACAGGGCUAAGCUUCUUUUAAUGCCAAACUAGAAUAACAAACUUUAAUUUACUUCUUAAAGGGUAAAAACAUCAAUUUGUCCUUAUAUUCGUUCAAAAGAUAAGGAAUACACACACACACACAUACAUAUUGUCUUCUUAAUGUAAACAAUUUAAAUUGAUGUUUCACGUUUCUAAAAAAAAAAUUAAAGACUGUCAUUCUAAGUAGGAGGUAAAUUUUUAAAAAAAAAACAUGUGUUCAUAUGAAAGAUGUGCAUUUUACAAUAAUUAAUAAACAAAAAGGGUAGUCAUAUUUUCACCCUGCAAUUUUUGUAAAUCCAUCCCCACUCCCAAGAAAUAAUUACAAUAAAUUCACAUAACUUUUUUAAAACUCAAAUAAAGAAAAAUUUUGGAGAUUUAAACUAUUAUAUACAAGAGGAUUGGAGUAAACAUUUUUCAUGCAGUAUAAAAAGAAUGUGACAACUCCUUUUCUUUCGGUAUUUUCGCAACAAAAGCACGCUUAAUAACUCAUCAAAUUAUUUCUCCUUUUCUUUGAUCGCUUGAUUCGCUUCCCCUCUCCUGGAGCUGCUGAACUCCUUUGUUGCUGAUGAAGGGAACAAGUGAGGCUUUUCAAAAGACCACAAUAUGUAUAAAGACAAACUAAUUACACUAUCAGUGGCUCAAGGUUACCUUAAUGCAGAAGAGGGCAAAGAGAUGGAGAUUCGAUUCGAUAAUAGUAGUUUAUUUUAAUUUUUAUUCAUUUGAUUUCAUAGCAGUAAUUUUUAUUUUCAUUUUUUGCUGAAAAUUGGUAAAAACGAACUAAAAUGAGAUGAUUACAUUAAAACAAUCUUCAAUGACUAAAGUAAUUUGAAAAAAUAUAAAUAAAAGUAAACAAGCUCAAAAUUUAUCCCUAAUCCGAACAUUAUCCGAAUUCAGCCUAAUUGACCCAAAUCUAAUUUUAAUCCAAACUUGACAUGGCCCGCAUAUAAUUAUAAUCCGAUCAUAACCAAACUCAACCUGAAUUUUUAAUUCAAUACGAUCCAAUCCAAAUAUUCCAACCCAAUCAAAUUGAAACUUGAUCGGGUUGAUCCGAACCUGAAUUUGCCACUUCCGGAGGAGACCAUGACCCUAAAGGCUUUGAAAUAAUCUUUGCGGUUUCUUAAUGAAAGACUGAUUUGACCCUAGAAUACAUGAUAUAUAAAUUUCAGACAUUAUAUUCUGUGAAAUAAAGUCAAAGUAAACUGGUUGUUUUAUUUGUUAUUAAUUAUUUUUCAUUAUGACAAAAUGAGAAAUAGACUUUAUUAAAAGUUUAAUAAAGUUUGGGCCUAACUCCUUGAUUUUUAUUUUUUUAAUUAUUUUUCAUUUUGUUUUUUACUUGCAACAUUAGCUUUAAUUAUCAAUCAGUCUCCAAAUCAAAAUGACUGCAACCUGUAGCUACAAGCAAAAUUCUCAGAAUUUGAAAUUUCUAACGACUACAUAAUAGCUAUAAAUAGAAAAAUCAUCUAAAAUUAAUCCUCCUUCAGAGGCAGAUUAAAUUCUUAGUAAUUUCAUAUAAUUUCAUUUCAUCAGAACAAUUUUUCAAGAGCAAUUUUAUAAAUGGUUGUCGAAAGCUUUAUCCCUUAAUCAUAUUUCACGUAUUUUCUUUGUAAUAUGAGGCGUGUCCAUAGACCAUAGUAUGAUAUUUAUUGUAAUUAAAAUCAUUAUGGAACUGAUUUUAUUCUUUUUUCUCAAACAAAGUAUCUAACUGCAGAUGUAAUAAAUUACUAAUUGCCAUUAUUUGAGUCGCGCUCUUUGGAUUAGAUCUUGGAGUUUCAAUAGACCAAAUGAAUUAGUAAGAUAAUGGCUUUUGCUUUUGUCUACCGGAUAAUAAAACUUAUCCGCCAUAUAGACAAGAAAUGGAUCGGAUCCAUAUGCUAUCGCUAAAUUGAAAAAUUUACGUGGAGUUUUAUUGUAAGACAUUUUUAUCUGAAUAGAAAAAGUAAAAUCUCUUUAAUUUUAUCUAAAUGAUAAAAUAUCUGAAUAGAAAAUCAGUUUUCUUCUCACAAAUACCCUCAUUAAAUAUAUUUAUUUUCUACUUAGCUAUUAGAUGUCAUAUUAGAAUUUCCUUUGAUCUCAGAUUUUACUUGGUAUUAAAUACUUAAUAUGCGUUCAAUUGGAAUUUUAGACAAAUUCUUUUGUCAUUAGAUAACAACUUUUUUUACUGAAUUUGAUGUUUAUACAGAAACAGUCAAGUCCUUGUUGGCUGAAAUUGGCAUUUCUCUUGAUUUGGUGUGAUAACCAAAGUGCAGCUGCCUUAGCAAGUAAUCCUAAAUUCCACUCCCGAACUAAACACAUAGAACUUGAUGUUCAUUUCUUGCGAGAAAAGGUUAUUUAUGUUCCAAGAACUUAAAUUUAACUCUAAUAAAAGCUUCCAAGUUAGUUAUGUUCCAAGUUCUCAUAACUCAGCUGAUAUCCUUACUAAAGCUUUAGCUUAUCACCCUUUUCAUUAUCUGAGAGACAAGCUCACCCUGACUUCACUAGGCUGAGCUUGAGGGGGGAUGUUAAGAGUAUAAGCUGAAGCUGCUGAGCUGGCUGGUGACGUGCUGAAGGUGCUGAGUUGACUGAUGUUUUGUAACUAAGUUGCUGAUCUUGAUUGGGCUGUUAUUUGCACUGAAUAAGUUGUAACGAAUUGUCCAACUGGCUUGUUAUGAUUGGAAGGCUAAUUAGUUUGUUAAUAUUGCAGCUUUGAGCUCUGUUUCUGUAAUCAGUUUGAGUGUGACUAUAAAUAGUGACUAGUACGCUCAUAAUGUAUGAUUUCAGCUUUAAUCAAUAAGAAUCUGUGAUUGUUCCAGAAACUUCAUAGUCAAAUUUUCUUUCUUAAUUUUCUUUCACUUUCUCUCGUGCCAAACACCUUAUUGAUUCAAAAAAAACUCCGUCCAACGGCUCACGUUCCUCCACGUCUACCACCAUGCAACCGUCGUCGUAAUGUGCUACCUUUGGUUACAGACGAAGCAGUCUUUGUUUCGUAUGGCACUUGUCACCAAUGCAAGUGUGCACGUGAUCAUGUACGGGCACUAUCUAUUGUGUGUGAUGGAGUUGCGGCCAAAGUGGAAGAGAUUGGUCACUCAUGAUUGUCAGAUUGUUCAAUUUGUGUUUAGUUUUGUUGUUUCGGUUUUGAUGCUGUAUUAUCAUUUUACGGGAUUUGGUUGGUCUGGGAUUUUGGGUUGGUGCUUCAAUGCUGUGUUUAAUGCUUCUCUCUUGACACUUUUUGUUAAUUUUCAUUCCAAGAGCUACGCUAAGAAAAAGCAGGGAUGAUCAGAACAAAUAGUGUGUUGUGAUUGUUUUGUGUGUGUGUAUGGUAAUACAUGUCAUUUGUCACCAUAUUUGUUUAGUCUCUCCCCUUUUAGGUUCCCUCUCACACACAAAAAAUUAGGAUUUGUAUUUUGUAAACUAAUAUUUUUCAUUUUGUUAAUGUAUUAAUUAUUAUUAUCUACGUUUAUGUGAUAGGGCACAUGCCACAUAAACUAAAAUUAUCUCUCGAUUAGUAAGAGUAGAAUAAAUAUCUCUCUAGUAUUAUGCAAGGGUAGAAAUUUGGGUUGUACCAUGUUAGAAUUAUCAAGGAUAGUUUUGAUAGAAUUCUAAUUGUAAUAUAUGAGUGUAUAAAAAAAAAUGAACAGUAAUGAAAGAUGUUUAGGUAAGGACUAUCUUGGAAUAGAAUUUUGAUUGUAAUAUAUCAAUAUAUAAAAAGAAAUUUAUGAAAAAUGUUUAACAAGGACUAUUUUGAUAUUUUAAUGAGUAGUAAAAAUUAAUGUUAAAAUUUGAUAGAACAUAUAUAAAUAAUCCUAGCUCUAAUAAAAAAAUUAGAUCAUGCAAGAAGUAAUUUUUUUAAAAAAAAUAAAAAAAGGACAAAUGAUGAAACCCACGUCUAAAGAUGCCGUUGUCGCGGAGGCCUAGAUCUCACUACACCCCAUCCCCUUCUACCAUAUUUUAUAAUUGAAGAGGUCAUUAUUGAAUUGAAAAAUUAUGAUUCAAAAAUCCAAAAAUAGAAAAAGAAAAGCAAUUGUUGGAAACACACUCGGAGUUUUAAAUUGACAUGAGAAAAGAAUAUAUUCAUCAACCUCAUACGUUAAAGAUGCGACGAGUUUAAGGAUAUAUUCCUAACGUGUGGGAAUUUAAAGAUGUUACUACAAAACAUGUGUUCGUCGGUGGAGUAGAAUCAGGGAAAUUAAAGAUGCUACUACAACCACUAACGGGUGGGUGGAGAUAAGCAUAACUUUUUUCAUCAAAUGCCAAAUCCCCCCAGGUGGAGAGUGGGGACUCCUUCGCAUAAAUGUUGAUAAAAUUUUGACUAUGAUGUUAUUAGAAAUUAGGGAAAACUUAUGGUGCAACUGUGAUAUCGUGUCAUAGUUGUAUCCAGCCGUUGGAUGUCAAUGGACUCUACCCAUACAAGUGUAUCCAACGGCUGGAUGUAAUUAUGGCACGGUACCACAGUUGCAUCGUAGUCGGACCCUAAAAAUUAAGAUAUUCUCUUUCUACGUAUGUCUGCACGAAAUAAUAUGCAAAUAUAGUAUUUUAGUUUAUUAUUAAUAGUUUUACAAUAAUAAAAAUCAUUUUGAUAGACUGGAAAAUGUCAUAUUCGCAUUUUAUUUUGUACGGACUUCUGCGAGAAAGAACAUAUAUAUAUAUAUAUAGAGGAACGUGUAUUUAAGAUUUAACUAGUGUGAAGUUGGGAAAUUUUUUUUUUGAACCCAGGCUAAAAUUAUUUCAAUAAAUUUUGAUCAUGGAGACUAAUAAGAUUUUUUUAGUUAUAUUUAUUAAUUUUUUAGGGACUAAUAAAUUUUGAUCAUGGAGACUAAUAAGAUUUUUUAGUUAUAUUUAUUAAUUUUUUAGGGACUAACAUGAAUAUUAAUAAUUUUAUUGAGAUUAUUAAAAAAACAAUGUGCUAUUUUACAUCUAUGACUUUUCCAAUCUUUUUUUCUUUCGUUAUUUAUUCCUUUGUGAAUUUCAGUUAAUGCUUGAUAUUAUUUUUUUGCUCAUUUUUUAAAGUAGUAAUUAAAUCUGAACCCUUACAGUAGAAGAUUAUGAAAAAGUAAAGACACAAAAAUCAUAAAAAUCAUUAGUAGGUCCAAAUUUGUGCUAUUUUCAUACAUAACUUGAGAAUAUUUAUAAUUACGCAUCAGAACUAGUGGAGUAGAAUCAGGGAAAUUAAACAUUCUACAAUCAUUAACGUGUGGGGUGGGGUUAAGCAUAAACCUUUUCUAUGCAGUAUAAAAGAAUGCAAUAACUCCUUUUCUUUCAGUAUCAUCGCAACAAAAGCACAUCUAAUAACUCUUCAGAAUUCUCGUCUUCUUUGUCAGAAUGGUUGAUGCGAUCGUUUCCUCUCUCCUGGGGCAGCUGAGCUCUGUUGCGGCUGAUGAAGUGAAACAGCAGGUGAGGCUUGUGACUGGUGUCCGACAAAAAGUGAAAAAGCUUACCAGCAAUCUUCAAGCCAUUCAACUUGUGCUGGAAGAUGCAGAGAAAAGGCAAAUGCAGGACGACAAAGCUGUUACUUUUUGGCUGGAUCAGCUCAAAGGCGCAUCUUACGACAUGGAAGAUGUGUUGGAGGAGUGGACCACUGCAAGGCUCAAAUUGCAGAUUGAGGGCCUUGACGAUGACAAUGCUCUUCCUCUUGCUCCUCAUAAGAAGAAGGUACGCUCCUUCUUUCCUUCUGCCUCAAACUGCUUCGGUAGUUUCAAAAAACUCAGUUUUCGUCAUGACAUUGCUGUCAAGAUUAGAGAGAUCAAUAAAACGCUGGAUGAUAUUACCUCUCAAAAAGAUACGUUUAAAUUUGUUGAGAAUGUGAGCAACAAUGUCAAGAAGCCAGAGCGAGUGGGAACCACCUCCUUGAUUGAUGAGGGAGAGGUUUGCGGUAGAGUUGAUGAGAAAAAUGAGCUCUUAAGCAAGUUGUUGUGUGAAAGUAGUGAACAACAAAAAGGCCUUCAUGUCAUCUCACUAGUUGGGUUAGGGGGUAUAGGUAAAACCACUCUUGCACAACUAGCCUAUAAUAAUAAUGAGGUGAAAAGAAAUUUUGAAAAAGUUAUAUGGUUGUGUGUAUCAGACACUUUUGAGGAGAUUAGGGUAGCCAAAGCAAUCAUUGAAGGUCUAGGCGUGUCAGCUUCUAGUUUAAGCGAAUUCGAAUCUCUUAUGAAACAGAUUCAGGAAUAUAUUACGGGGAAGAAGUUUUUUCUUGUUUUAGAUGAUGUAUGGGAUGGGAAUUACACUAAAUGGGAACCAUUCUUCCUUUGUCUAAAGAAUGGCCACCAUGAAAGUAAAAUUCUAAUUACCACACGUGAUAGGUCAGUUGCACUACAGUUGGGAUCAAUAGAUAUUAUCCCUGUCAAGGAGUUGGGUGAAGGGGAGUGUUGGUUACUGUUUAAGCAGAUAGCAUUUCUACGUAGGUCCUUUGAGGAUUGUGAAAAAUUAGAACCAAUUGGACGAAAAAUUGCAUGUAAGUGCAAUGGCCUGCCUCUUGCUGCAAAGGUAAUAGGGAAUCUCUUACGCUCUAAAAGUACAGUAAAAGAGUGGCAAAGAAUUUUAGAUAGUGAAAUGUGGAAAGUAGAAGAGAUUGGGCAAGGUAUUUUGGCUCCUUUGUUGUUGAGUUAUAACGAUUUACCCUCCAAUUCUAUGGUAAAACGGUGUUUCUCAUAUUGUGCUGUCUUUCCAAAAGACUACAAUAUGGAUAAAGAGGAGUUGAUUAAUCUAUGGAUGGCUCAAGGUUACCUUAAUGCAGACGAAGACGAAGAAAUGGAGAUGAUUGGAGAAGAGUAUUUCAACAUCUUAGCAACACACUCUUUCUUUCAACAGUUUGAAAAAGAUUAUGACGAUGAUGAUAUUAUGAGUUGCAAGAUGCAUGACAUAGUACAUGAUUUUGCUCAAUUUGUAAGUAGCAAAGAAUGUUUGUGGCUAGAAAUUAAUGGUACCAAGGAAUCAGUCAUAAACUCUUUUGGUGAGAAAGUCCGUCACUUAGGGUUAAAGUUUGAAGGAGGCGCUUCAUUUCCUAUGUCCAUUCGUGGACUUGAUAGAUUGCGUACCCUUUUAAUUUAUGAUAGAAGUCUGUCUCUUAGUAGUAGCAUCCUUUCGGAGUUAUUUAGUAAAUUGGCGUGUUUAAGGACAUUAGUUAUAGGGCAAUAUAACACUUUAGGUUUGCAUCAUGAGACAGAAAGGAUUAGAGAAAUUCCAGAAAAUGUUGGAAAAUUGAUACAUUUAAAAUAUCUUAAUUUAUCUGAAUUAGGCAUAGAGAGACUGCCUGAGACUUUGUGUGAAUUAUAUAAUUUACAAAAGCUAGAUAUUAGGCAGUGCCGAUAUCUUAGAGAAUUGCCUGCGGGGAUUGGGAAGUUAAUUAACAUGAGGAGUUUACUGAAUGGUGAAACUCAUUCAUUGAAGUACCUGCCAAUAGGGAUUUCCAGAUUGACCAGCCUUCGAACAUUAGAAAAGUUUGUUGUGGGUGGAGGUGUUGAUGGUAACAAUACGUGUAGGCUUGAAUCUCUGAAAAAUCUUCAACUCCUUCGAGAAUGUGGAAUUGAAGGGCUGAGUAAUGUGUCACAUAUAGAUGAGGCCGAGAGAUUAGAACUCUACAAUAAGGAAAACCUCCUUCGUUUGCGUCUUGAGUUUGUUGGAGUCGUAGAUGGGGAAGAUGAAGAAAGGAGGAGGAAGAAUGAGAAAGACAAACAACUUAUUGAAGCUUUACAACCGCCUUUGAGUGUAGAGAAGUUAGGGAUUAAAUCCUACGAAGGCAACAUUUUUCCCAAAUGGUUGACUUUGCUAACCAAUCUAAGGAAUUUAACGCUUGCCUCGUGCGUUAACUGUGAGCAUUUGCCUCCUUUGGGAAAAACUCGAAAUCAUCCACUUGAAAAGUGUAAAAAGAGUGGGUAAUGAGUUUUUGGGAAUAGAAGAAAACAGUGAGGACGAGCCGUCUUCAUCUUCAACAUCAUCAUCAGUUACUGCCUUCACCAAAUUGAAAUCACUCAUAAUUGGGGGAAUGGAAGAAUUGGAAGAGUGGAAUUACAGGAUUACGAGGAAGGAAAACAUCUCCAUCAUGCCCCGUCUUUCUUCCUUAACAGUUGGUAGUUUCAACAAAUUAAAGGCGCUGCCGGAUUACCUUCUUCAAACGACGGCACUGCAGAAACUGAAUAUUAGUGAUUGUGAAAAUUUGGAAGAACUGCCCAUUCUAGAAGAUCACAGGACAACAAGUGUAGUCUGUUCCUUGAUGAUUUUGGAUUGCCCCAAAAUAAAGGUGCUGCCGGAUUACCUCCUUCGAACGACGACACUGCAGGAAUUGACAAUUUUGGGAUGUCCUCUUCUAGAAGAACAUUAUAGAGAAGACAGGCAUAAGAUAUCUCACAUUCCCCGCAUCAUGGUGCCGGUAAUUUCUCCUCCGAUUUACUUCGUUGUUGCUUGCAAUAAAAUGAAUAAAAAUAAUUAUAUCUUUAAUUCUAUAUAGAAUCAAUCAUGGUAUAAAUAUGUAAAACUUCCUAGUUAUCAAAUCUGUUAAACUUGUUUCCUAAAGAUUAAAUAAAAAAAAAAAACCAAGUGUAGUCUGUUUAAAUUCGAUAAUUACUUUAAAAAAAAUAUGUGCUCUUUUGUAAAAUUUCAUACAAUCUCAUAGAAAAUCCCAAUGCAAUUUAUUUUUUAAUGUACAAAAAUUUGUUAUGUGUAACUUCCUGAGAAACAAAAUCUCUGUGAUACAUUUGCAGUAAUGUUGAAAACUAAAUUAUCAAUUUUGUCUUGCAUAAUGAUAAUCGUAUUUUUUUAUAUAUAAUUUAUGUGACAUUAAUUCUUUAAAGUAAUUGUGUAAUUGUUUUUACUACAUGAGGCCACUUUGUUUUAUUUCAUACGAGUUUAAUUAUGUUCACCAGGGAUUCGAUAAAAUGUCAGAACUACACUAGCAAUUCACAUCGUCAUCAUCGUCAUCAUCGGUUACUGCCUUCCCCAAGUUGAAAGCACCCAAAAUUAAUUAUUUGGAUGAACUGGAAGAGUGGAAUUACAGGAUUAGGAGGAAGGAAAAGAUCUCCAUCAUGCCACGUCUUUCUUCCUUGUGGAUUCGGUAUUGCCCGAAAUUAAAGGUGCUGCCGGAUUACCUUCUUCAAUUGACGACACUGCAGAAAUUGAGGAUUGAGCUAUGUCCUCUUCUGGAAAACCGUUAUAGGGAGGCGAAAGGAGAAGAUUGGCAUAAGAUAUCUCACAUUCCCCACAUCGAGAUAUCACCCGACGGUAAUUUCUUCUCCUCCUCUGAUUUACUCUGUUGUUGCUUGCAAUGAAAUUAAUAAAAAUAAUUAUAUUAUGAAUUAAAAUUCUGUAUAUUGCCAAUGUGUGACAGGAAUAUAUAAUAUAUUUCUAAUAUUUCGAUUUGCAUAUUGAAUUUAACUAUUUACUUCAGCCAUUAAUUUGCCAAUAAUUUAAUGGGUCACUCUAUGAUGCUGUUAUAAAAAUUAUAAAACCAAUCAUGGUAUAAAUAUGUACUGUUAGAUUUAAUCAAUAGUUCAUAAAUUUAAAAGUUAGUUAGGAUAAUAUUUUAAUUUUAAUUAUUUAAAAUUUAAACUUCUUAGUUAUCAAAUCUGUUAAACUAAUUUUCUAAAGAUUAAAUAAUUAAAAAAAGUGUAAUCUGUUGAAAUUCCUAUAUUUCAUACAACAUCAUGGAAAAUCCUAAUGUAAUUUAUUUUUUAAUGUACCAAAAUUUAUCAUGUGUAACUUCCUGAGAGACAUAAUCUCUGUGACACAUUUGCAGUAAUGCUAAAAACUAAAUUAUCAAUUUUAUCUUGUAUAAUGAUAAUCGUAUUUUUUUAUUUAUAAAUAAUUUAUGUGACAUUAAUUCUUUAAAGUAAUUGUGUAAUUAUGUUCACCAGGGCUUGCAGGAGGUGCCAGUAGUCUACUAGCAUCUGGCAGUUACAAGCCAAUUUGGUUUUAAUGAUGCAGGCAGGAGAGUAUGCUAAGAAAAUGAAAAGUUUAGCCAAAGGAUUGCUAAAAUGUUCUGCUGGUAAUUCACUUGCUUUAUUUUAUAGAAUUUCAUUUCCAUCUUCUUCUAUUGAUAUCUUGUUGUGAAUAAACAAGAACAGAGAAGUAAAUGAUUGAACCACAGAGAAGUAAAGAUAUAUCAAAAUUCCCUACUAUGAUGAUGUUAAAACAAGCUCAAGCUCAAGCAUUUCAUUUUUAUUUUUAUCAUCUCCAAGGGUUUGAAAGAGCCUUUGCAGUAAAGUCAGUUGUCACCAGCUCGUGCAAUUGCACAUUCAUUCAGAGUACUUCAAUAUUGGGUUUUCAAGUUUUGUAUGUUUAGUCGAUUAAAAUGUUUAGUCGCUCCUUCUUAAUCAUUUCUGAUUUUCAAGUUCUUUAGGGCCAUAAACAGUUUUUCAAACUCAAUUCUUACGUUUUAGGUUGAUUUCCUACUCGUGGAGAACAUUGGUGAGACCAAGGAUUAGGCUGGCAGUGGAACUACUGCCUCUGUUGUUAUUGUGCAAGGUUUGAUCGCUGGACCUUGAACAAGAAAGCCUUACACGCAUUCUGUAAUUCAACCGUUCUCUAAAGCAAAAGAGCAGUAGAAGGAAUGGUAAUGGCCGGAUCUGCUCUAUUUUAAUUGAAGAUCUCAGUGAUGUAGAGGAGCUUAAAGCAGUUGAUGCUUUUUGAAAAUUGUUAUUACAGAUGAAUUGAUUCCUGAAGACGAGUAAUCUAAUGAUUGUUAAGGCUUAUUUUCAUAAAGUUCCUUUUUUAACAAAUGUUUCAAUGCUUGUUGUAGUAACGUUUUCAUAUCUUGCAUCUCUCGGGUGCAUCAUGUUCGCGGGUUUGAAAAAGCAUUUGUGGUAAAGCUUCAAAGUAUAAUGGCUGUGAAAAGGCACAUUCAAUUAGGUACGUUUUGGUGCGGUCUCCCAAUGCUAAUAUCAUAUUUUGUAUAGCAAUUAAAAUUUAGGUAUACAAUCUUAAUAUGCAAUAAACCAUUGUGUACAAAGCUUUCUAUUAAUUAUAUGGUGACUGAAAUUUUAAUUAUCAUAGCAAUUUAAAUUUUUUUGUAACUGUCUUUUACUCUGCUUGUACAGAGUACCUGUUUUGGCUGAUAUGUCUAAUUCGGAGAAAUUCAUUUCCAUCGGUUUCCAUUGGCUUUAGCACAAACAGAAACAGAGAUCGGGGAAAAGUUUUACUUCUUGUGGUAUUAUGCCUCUGUUUCUUCAUUCAUCAUAUUUUUCGAAUUCAUGCUCUCAUUCAGAGGGUAAAGCCUUUUCCAGGCUGCUUUGUGGCCAAACUUUGACGCCAUUGAUGCAUGAGUGUCAUUUAGAUUUUCCAAAUAACUGUUAGAUUGGAGAAGAAUAAGAAUAUAGAUGUAUCACCUCAAAGUCUGAUUUCAAAUUUCCUUUACUUAAUCAACUAGCAUCCUUUCCAAGUCCAGAUACUUACCAGUAGUGAGACUUUGCUACGGAAGUACAAUUUCUCUUGUUUUACAGUUAAAUAUGUAAGAAUAGUUUUAAAUUUACAGAAUUCUGAUAUAGUUCUAAGGAAAUGCGAGUGGUGAAUCUGGUUCCAACUUUUAAUAGGCUUAAGAGGCCCAUUUGUUCAGCCACAGUGAUUGCCGUCUAAAUUCUUCUUUACUGUCUAUAUGUGUUGGAGUUUGUCUAUUGUCCAACUUCUCAAACGCCAUGCAGGGUUUUGAAUGUCUAAUUAGGAGAAAGAUCAAUGGAUGACCUUUUGAAGAAGGCUUACAUAACAGGCCAUCUCAGUAUGUCACGGCUCAGCUCAAAAGUCCCCAGGUGGUUGAUACUUGAUACCAAAGAAUGCCAUUGUUUCUGGGCUUGGGCUCCUUGGCGUCAAGAAAAGUAGUGUUGACUCUAUUGAAGGGGAAAUAGGGGCAACUAAAGCUCGAAGAAAGAGGAUAGUCCGGAGGAAGAUGACGGCAUAAAUUUGUUGGAGUUAAUGUAGUCAAUUGCCCAAUUUUGCUGCCUGUCGAAGAGACAGCGCAUAGAAGUCCUCAUGAAACUCUGAGACACAGAUAGAGGGGUCUUUUCUUGAUGUCUAAAUACCGUAUGUGAUACAACAUCGUGUAUUCCAAUUUUUCUCCUGUUAAAUUUUAAUAAGUUAGGAAAGUUAAUUUUGUUUUAGCAAUGAAUUGUUUUCUUAAUAAUAAUAAUUGCCAUGUUCCUCUGAAGUCUUAUUAAUGCCAGACCAACAACUACUAGGUUCAUCUCUCGUUCACUUCCUCAGGGAUUCUCGAGGGCAUUCUUUGGCAGGUAGUCUUUCUUGUUGAGCUCCUGGAAUUACUUUCAAUUUAUCAUUUGUUGGGUUUUGCUUUUUGAUUGCUUUGUGAUUUGUGUAUUUAUGGCUUUGUCGCUAAUUAAUCUUGGCUGUUUUGAAUCUGUGCUGGAUUUAGAAGUUUGGAGUUGAAAACUGUUAAAGCUUAGACUAGUAGAAGAAAUUUAUACAUUCAUUUAUCUUGGACAAAGUUUUUGGAAAAAAAAAAAUUAUAAGUAUACACUUUCCAAUGGUUUGGUGAUGUUUGAUUGGUUUUAAGAUGUUGGAUCUCUCAUCAGAUUUCUUUAUGUUUUGACUGCUGUUGCCACAGGAUGCUCGCAGAUCCUGCUUUUUUGUAUAAACUUAUACUAGAGCAGGCUGCCACAAUUGGUUGCACUGUUUUGUGGGAGUUGGAGAAUCGUAAGGAGAGGUGUUUUUUUCUUUCAUAACAAAGGGACUCUCCCCUUCCUUUUUAUUUUCAUUUUAUAUAUUAAGCUAAUAAAUGUUUGUUUCUGUCAUGAUAGGAUAAAGCAAGAAUGGGAGCUUGCCCCAAUAAAUGUGCUCACAGUAACAGCAUGUAAUCCUUUUGUUGUUUGGUCACUUGCUCCUUGUCGUUCUUAUGGAAACACCUUCCGGUUUGACUUGCAAAAUACAUUACAAAAGCUCCCAAACAAUAUAUUUGAACGAAGUUACCCAUUUCGAGAACUUGAAUCCACUCCAUUUUUUACAAGGCUGCAGAGUUGUGUGUGGUGGGAUUAACUGCAGGAGCAGUGCAAGGUUCUUUGUCAAACUAUCUGGCUGGUAAAAAGGACAGGUAAACAUUGUUGCAAAACUUUCUUUUCAUUCCUCUUUCACUUAUUCGUUAUAAAUAAAGAAAACUUAGAAGAUUGUUCUGUUUACUGUCUAAGCCAGUUUAACAUUUGUUAAAUUUGGGCCACCUUUAAUGUCUGACAGGUUAUCUGUGACAAUCCCAUCUUUGAGUACUAGUGCGCUUGGUUAUGGUGCUUUCCUUGGACUAUAUGCAAACAUGAGAUAUCAGCUAUUGUGUGGAUUUGAUAGAGCGGUCAUCAACCAUUUUGAUGUUAUUGGAGUAGCACUGUUCUUAAGCACUGCUUUGAGGUAUCUCCCUCUCUCUCUUUUACGUAUUUGUUUAUUGAUCUACAUCUCUAUAUACAUUGAUAGACUAUUCUGGUCGUACCAAAUUACCCUUGUUUUAAUGUUUUGUUUGUUAAACUUUGACUGGGGAAUCUGUUUAUUUGUCUGAUAUGAUGUUAGUGUGGUUUCUAUUGGAGUGUGUAGAUCUAUCACCGAGUAUUAUUUCAAUUUUUCUUUACUUAAUCAACUUGCAUCCUUUCCAAGUCCAGAUCCUUAACAAUAGUGAGACUUCGCUACGGAAGUACAAUUUCUCUAGUUUUACAGUUAAAUACGUAAGGAUGAUUUUAAAUUAACUGAACUCUGAGGUAGUUUUCUAAGGAAAUGCAAGUGGUGAUUAUGGUUCCAAGUUUUAAGUGCCUUAAUUAACCCAUUUGUUCAGCCCUGUGCGUAAACAAUCAGUAAUUGCUGUCCAAAUUCUUCUUUACUGCCUAUAUGUGUUGGACUUUGUCUAUUGUUCAACUUCUCAAAUGGAUUCCAUGCAGGGUUUUGAAUGUCCAAUUAGGAGAAAGAUCAAGGCUUGCUUGGCUAGGAGUGGAAGCGGAUCCGCUACUUCAGUCAGAUGACCUUUUGAAGAAGGCUUACAACAGGCCGUCUCAGGAUGUCAAUGGCUCAACUCAAAAGUCCCCAAGGUGGUUGAUAUCAAAGAAUGCCAUUGUCUCUGGGCUUGGGCUCCUUGGCAUCAAACAAGGGAAUGUCGACUCUGUUGAAGAGGAAGCAAGGGCUCCUAAAGUGCGAAGAAAGAGGAUAGUCCGGAAGAAGGUGACCGCAUAAAUUUCUUGGGAGUUAAUCCUAGUCAAUAGCCCAAUUUUGCUGCCUGCCGAAGAGAUACAACUCGGAAGUCCUCAUCAAACUCUUUGAGACAUCUAAGAACUAGUAGGGAGGUGUUUCCUGACAAGUAUAGUUCACUGCUGGAGGGAUUCUUUUCUUGAUGUCUAAAUACUAUAUGUGAUACAACGACGUAUAUUCCAAUUUUUCUCUAGUUAAAUUCUAGUAAGUUAGAAAAGUUAAUUUUGUUCUAGGGAUGAAUUGUUUUCUUAAUAAUAAUAAUGGCCUGUUGCUUUGGAAUCUUAUUCACUCUCUGUAACCCAGUUAAAUUGUGCAAAUUGUACUGCAGAUUUAUCAAACAGAGUGUCUUUGUGAUUGUUUUGAUACACUUUUGAUGGCAAG
rnacentral:lncRNA from 1 species